UUUUAUGGUGGGCCGUGGCGGGGCAGCCGCGAGGCUGGCCGGUUCCAAUCUGCCGGUUUCUCACCCCCGCUACGCGCCUGCCACCCCC
rnacentral:antisense_RNA from 1 species